CAGAUCAAUUAAGUUUAAUUUGUGGGUCUCUGUUGGUUGGCGUUUCAAACAGCGUGACAGACCUGAUAUACCUGACGGCCGCACAUGUUCGCAACUUAGAGGUAGCAUUCUAUCUGACCGGAAAAGGAUUAUAAAGCCUCAAAAUGAAGCUUUUCUAACACCUUAAUCAAGGAAACCUAUGGGGGGAGCGUUGAGGUUUGGGUAAACGUAUGGAAGUGGGUAUUGACACAGUCCAGCCCAGGCUGGUGAUUCAGAGCGAUGACAUGCAGAUGAAACGGGGCUGUUCGUGGCUAGGUCUGACUUCAAGAAAGAGCUACUAGCUGACAUUGACACAGUGGUCAGACGGGUUACGUAAGCGUGUGCACGAGAGGCCCGCGGCAGCGUGUGUGGGUGUCCCGGAGGAAACCGCAGCUGUGCUAACGCCGCGUCAGGCCCAUGUCACAUUCCACACGUCCACCGCCAUGCUGAUCUGCAGUCGGCCCUGGGUGACAGACGGGAGCUUAGAGGAUGACGUGCCCUUUAGAGGUGGCCCGUCUCAUCCGUCGGAUAACCCUUUCGGUCGGACGCAUUGAAGAAUGCACCGGUAUUGCGUCAGCAUCUGAACACUGCCUGCAGUCAGGCUUUUUUAUGGACAAUGGGGCAGAGGCAGUUAGAAGCUCCGCCUUACCAGGGGAUACAACCGGGGCCUCGGCUAGCGUUCACCGAUUGUAUCUUUUUCGCUGUUCGUCCUACUGGCCACUGAACGGAAAGUCUCUGUUUUGUAGCUAAUGUUCGGCAUGUAUUACCGAAUGCUUUGGUUUCCACUUAACACGUCUACUAUUGGGAAGUUUACAAAUCAGAGCAGUCAUAGUUGCCCCAGUCAGAAAAGAGGUAGUCUGACCAGCCACAUAAGAUGACAAAGUAAUAUUAUGAGCAGGGUCUAGCAGCCUUUAUUUAUUUACUUUUAUUUUGUUGUGCUUUCUCUGUU